AUUUAACAGAUUAUUAAAUUUGUAUUUUAUAAUAAUUAUUUUUAAUAAAAUUAUUUUUAAUUAAAUUAUGUUUUAGUAUAUAAUAAGAAUAAAUAGUAUUAAUUAUAGUUUAUUAGUAUUGUGAAAGAAUUUUGAAAUAUUUUGAAAAAUUUAAAUUUUUUAAAGAAAAAUUAAUUUUUUGUACCUUGUGUAUCAGGGUUUAUUAAAUAAAAAAUAUAAAAUUUAUUUUUCUCGAAUUUAAAAGAUCUAUUUAUUUAUGAAAUUUAAUGUAGUAAAAUUAUUUUUUAUAAGUUAAUAGUAAUGAAAUGUUAAUCGUUUUUAAAUAUUUCUAGUUUUUUAAUAAAUAAAUUUAAUUUAUAUUUUAAUUUAAAUAAUUUUUCUUAUAAAAAUUUAAUUAAAUUAAAAUAAAUAUUUUAAGGGAUAAGCUUUAAAAUAAAUAGUUAUAAUUAAAGUAAUAUUAAUUUUAUUUAAGUAGGUUUAGAAAUAGCUUUUUAUUAAAAAAUGUUAUAAUUUAAUUUAAAAUUUAAUUAAAAUUUUUUUUUUAUUUAAUAGUUUAUUAAAAUAAUUAAUUUAAUUAUUUAUUUUGUGUAAUAAUGAUAAAAUUAGUAAAUUUGAAAAUGUUUUGAUUUUUUAUAUUUAGGAAGGUUAAAUAAAGGAAUUCAGCAAAAAUAUUACUCACCUGUUUAUCAAAAACAUGUCUUUUUGAAAUUAAUUUAAAGUCUGAUCUGCCCAAUGAUGUAAAUUAAAUGGCUGCGGUAUUUUGACCGUGCAAAGGUAGCAUAGUAAUUUGUCUUUUAAUUGAAGGCUGGUAUGAAUGAUUUGAUGAAGUAAUAACUGUCUCUAUUAAAUUAUUAGUUGAAUUUUAUUUUUUAGUUAAAAAGCUAAAAUAAUAUUAGAGGACGAGAAGACCCUAUAGAGUUUUAUAAUAAAUUAAAUACUUUAUUUAAAUUUGACUAAAUUAUUUUUUUUAUUAUUUUGUUGGGGUGAUAGGAAAAUUAAUUUAACUUUUUUAAUUAAUAAAAACAUUGAUUUAUGAAUUUUUGAUCUUUAAAAUUAAGAUUAUUAGAAUAAAUUACCUUAGGGAUAACAGCGUUAUUUUUUUUAAAGUUCUUAUUUAUAAAAAAGAUUGCGACCUCGAUGUUGGAUUAGAAUAAAUUUUAGGUGAAGAAGCUUAAAUUUUAGGUCUGUUCGACCUUUAAAAUUCUACAUGAUCUGAGUUCAAACCGGCGUGAGCCAGGUUGGUUUCUAUCCUUAAUUUUUAUAAAAUUUUUAGUACGAAAGGACCAAGAUUUAAAAAUAAUUUUUAAAAACAAAUGUUUAAUAAUAAUAUUUU
rnacentral:rRNA from 1 species